GCAAGUCGAACGAGCGAAAGAGUGCUUGCACUCGUCUAGCUAGUGGCGGACGGGUGAGUAACACGUGAGCAAUCUGCCUUCGUGGGGAUACCAAUUGGAACGAUUGUAAUACCCCAUAACAUAGAUAAGCCGCAUGACCUAUCUAUCAAAGAUUUAUUGCCGGAAGAUGAGCUCGCGUCUGAUUAGGUAGUUGGUGAGGUAACGGCCCACCAAGCCGACAAUCAGUAGCCGGACUGAGAGGUUGAACGGCCACAUUGGGACUGAGACACGGCCCAGACUCCUACGGGAGGCAGCAGUGGGGAAUAUUGCACAAUGGGCGAAAGCCUGAAUGCAGCGAUGCCGCGUGAGGGAAGAAGGUUUUAGGAUUGUAAACCUCUGUCUUUGGGGACGAUAAUGACGGUACCCAAGGAGGAAGCUCCGGCUAACUACGUGCCAGCAGCCGC
rnacentral:rRNA from 1 species